rnacentral:lncRNA from 1 species
CUUCCCGCCUCGGCCUCCCAGAGUGCUGAGAUUACAGAUGUGAACCCAUGCCAGGCCAGGAAUUUUGUUUUUUAGGAAGGCUUUCUACUAAUGGAAUUCCUGGCCUUGAGAGGAUAUUACUUUCGACGGAAAGGAUUUUUUUGUUAUUAAAAGCUGGACCUACCAUGAAAGACUUCUGAAUCCAGGAAGAGAAACUGACUGGGCAACAUGUUAUUCAGAAACAGGACCUUGCCCUGUCACUCAGGAUGGAGUUCAAUGGUCCUAUCAUGGCUCAUUAUAGCCUUAAACUCCCAGGCUCAAGCAAUCCUACCAUGUCAGCCUUCCCAGUAGCUGGGACUACAGGAAGUGACCUCACAAUGACUCAAGCUACCACAUACUGUUGAUUGUGAAAUGCCAGUUGAAGCAUAUGUCCUGCGAGCUUAGGGGUGCUACAAGUUGACCACUGCAGCAGUAAAGAUGACUCUGAAGAAUGGCAUGGGAUGGAUCCUUUCGAAUGCACUUGAGCAGCGGUCUCCAACCACAGGGCCACAGAGCUGGAGCUGGAUCUACCAUGAAAGACUUCUGAAUCCAGGAAGAGAGACUGACUGGGCAACAUGUUAUUCAGGGUCUCCCUCUGUUGUCCAAGGCUGGAGUGUAGUAGUGCUA